rnacentral:rRNA from 1 species
CCUACGGGCGGCAGCAGUGGGGAAUAUUGCACAAUGGGGGAAACCCUGAUGGAGCGACGCCGCGUGAGUGAAGAAGUAAUUCGUUAUGUAAAGCUCUAUCAGCAGGGAAGAAAAUGAAGGUACCUGAGUAAGAAGCCCCGGCUAACUACGUGCCAGCAGCCGCGGUAAUACGUAGGGGGCAAGAGUUAUCCGGAGUUACUGGGGGUAAAGGGAGCGUAGACGGUAUUGCAUGUCUGGAGUGAAAGGCGGGGGCUCAACCCCCGGACUUCUCUGGAAACUGUACGGCUGGAGUGCAGGAGAGGAAAGUGGAAUUCCUUGUGUAGCGGUGAAAUGCGUAGAUAUUAGGAGGAACACCAGUGGCGAAGGCGGCUCUCUGGUCUGUAACUGACGUUGAGGCUCGAAAGCGUGGGGAGCAAACAGGAUUAGAUACCCUAGUAGUC